rnacentral:tRNA from 1 species
GGAAGAGUGGCUGAGUGGUUUAAAGCACCGCUUUCGAAAAGCGGCAUGUGGGAAACCACAUCAGGGGUUCGAAUCCUCUCUCUUCCG